UUGGAGGGCAAGUCUGGUGCCAGCAGCCGCGGUAAUUCCAGCUCCAAUAGCGUAUAUUAAAGUUGUUGCAGUUAAAAAGCUCGUAGUUGAAUUUCGGGACCAAUUUGUUGGUCGUGCCUCGGUACGUACUGGUAUUAUUGGUUUCUCCCUUCUGAAGAACCUUGAUGUCAUUAAUUUGGUGUCUUGGGGAAUCAGGACUGUUACUUUGAAAAAAUUAGAGUGUUUAAAGCAGGCAUACGCUUGAAUACAUUAGCAUGGAAUAAUGAAAUAGGACGAUUGAUUCUAUUUUGUUGGUUCCUAGGAUCGACGUAAUGAUUAAUAGGGAUAGUUGGGGGCAUUAGUAUUCAAUUGUCAGAGGUGAAAUUCUUGGAUUUAUUGAAGACUAACUACUGCGAAAGCAUUUGCCAAGGAUGUUUUCAUUAAUCAAGAACGAAAGUUAGGGGAUCGAAGACGAUCAGAUACCGUCGUAGUCUUAACCAUAAACUAUGCCGACUAGGGAUCGGAUGAUGUUAAUUUUUUAAUGACUCAUUCGGCGCCUUACGGGAAAC
rnacentral:rRNA from 1 species